rnacentral:rRNA from 1 species
UACGUAGGGGGGCAAGCGUUGUCCGGAUUUAUUGGGCGUAAAGAGCGUGUAGGCGGCCUGACAGGUCUGCUGUGAAAACUCGAGGCUCAACCUCGAGAUGUCGGCGGAAACCGUCUGGCUAGAGUCCGGAAGAGGAGAAUGGAAUUCCCGGUGUAGCGGUGAAAUGCGCAGAUAUCGGGAAGAACACCCGUGGCGAAGGCGGUUCUCUGGGACGGUACUGACGCUGAGACGCGAAAGCGUGGGGAGCGAACAGG